AAUCAACGCUGGCGGCGUGCCUCAGACAUGCAAGUCGAACGCGAAAGUCCCCUUCGGGGGACAAGUAGAGUGGCGCACGGGUGAGUAACACGUAGGUAAUCUACCUUCGGAUGGGGAAUAACAACCGGAAACGGUUGCUAAUACCGCAUAAUGCAGCGGCACCUAAUGGUGACAGUUGUUAAAGCGGGGGAUUGAAAGACCUCGCGUCUGAAGAGGAGCCUGCGGCGGAUUAGCUUGUUGGAGGGUAACGGCCUACCAAGGCGACGAUCCGUAGCCGGCCUGAGAGGGCGGUCGGCCACACUGACACUGACAUACGGGUCAGACUCCUACGGGAGGCAGCAGUCGGGAAUUUUGGGCAAUGGGCGAAAGCCUGACCCAGCAACGCCGCGUGAAGGAUGAAAUCCCUCGGGAUGUAAACUUCGCAAGAACGGGAAGAA
rnacentral:rRNA from 1 species